rnacentral:tRNA from 1 species
AAUGAUAAAGCAUUGUGGAAUAUUAUGUGGUCUUAUAAAGAUCAUGGUAAGAGUUAUGAUGCUAUUUAUCAUCAAGAUCAUGCUCCUGGUUAUCGUUG